rnacentral:rRNA from 1 species
AUUGAACGCUGGCGGCAUGCCUUACACAUGCAAGUCGAACGGUAACAGGUCUUCGGAUGCUGACGAGUGGCGAACGGGUGAGUAAUACAUCGGAACGUGCCUAGUAGUGGGGGAUAACUACUCGAAAGAGUGGCUAAUACCGCAUGAGAUCUACGGAUGAAAGCAGGGGAUCGCAAGACCUUGUGCUACUAGAGCGGCCGAUGGCAGAUUAGGUAGUUGGUGGGAUAAAAGCUUACCAAGCCGACGAUCUGUAGCUGGUCUGAGAGGACGAUCAGCCGCACUGGGACUGAGACACGGCCCAGACUCCUACGGGAGGCAGCAGUGGGGAAUUUUGGACAAUGGGCGAAAGCCUGAUCCAGCAAUGCCGCGUGCAGGAUGAAGGCCUUCGGGCUGUAAACUGCUUUUGUACGGAACGAAAAGCCCCGGGUUAAUACCCUGGGGUCAUGACGGUACCGUAAGAAUAAGCACCGGCUAACUACGUGCCAGCAGCCGCCGUAA